AGGAUUCCCCUAGUAACUGCGAGUGAAGCGGGAAAGCUCAAAUUUAAAAUCUGGUGGUCUCCGGCCGUCCGAGUUGUAGUCUGGAGAAGCGUUUUCCGCGUUGGACCGUGUACAAGUUUCCUGGAACGGAGCGUCAUAGAGGGUGAGAAUCCCGUCUUUGACACGGACCCCAAUGCUUUGUGAUGCGCUCUCAAAGAGUCGAGUUGUUUGGGAAUGCAGCUCAAAAUGGGUGGUGAAUUCCAUCUAAAGCUAAAUAUUGGCGAGAGACCGAUAGCGAACAAGUACCGUGAGGGAAAGAUGAAAAGCACUUUGGAAAGAGAGUUAAACAGUACGUGAAAUUGUUGAAAGGGAAACGCUUGAAGUCAGUCGCGUCUGCCGGGACUCAGCCUUGCUUCCGCUAGGUGUACUUUCCGGUAGACGGCCAGCAUCAGUUUUGGCCGCGAGAAAAAGGCGGAGGGAAUGUGGCUCUUUCGGGAGUGUUAUAGCCCUCUGUCACAUGUCGCGGCUGGGACUGAGGACCGCAGCACGCCUUUAUGGCCGGGGUUCGCCCACGUACGUGCUUAGGAUGCUGGCGUAAUGGCUUUAAACGACCCGUCUUGAAACACGGACCAAGGAGUCUAACAUGCCUGCGAGUGUUCGGGUGGAAAACCCGUGCGCGUAAUGAAAGUGAAAGUUGGGAUCCCUGUCGUGGGGUGCACCGACGCCCGGACCAGACCUUUUGUGACGGAUCUGCGGUAGAGCAUGUAUGUUGGGACCCGAAAGAUGGUGAACUAUGCCUGAAUAGGGUGAAGCCAGAGGAAACUCUGGUGGAGGCUCGUAGCGAUUCUGACGUGCAAAUCGAUCGUCAAAUUUGGGUAUAGGGGCGAAAGACUAAUCGAACCAU
rnacentral:rRNA from 1 species